rnacentral:rRNA from 1 species
GACGUAGGGCGCGAGCGUUGUCCGGAUUUAUUGGGCGUAAAGAGCUCGUAGGCGGCUUGUCGCGUCGGAUGUGAAAGCCCGGGGCUUAACUCCGGGUCUGCAUUCGAUACGGGCAGGCUAGAGUUCGGUAGGGGAGAUCGGAAUUCCUGGUGUAGCGGUGAAAUGCGCAGAUAUCAGGAGGAAUACCGGUGGCGAAGGCGGAUCUCUGGGCCGAUACUGACGCUGAGGAGCGAAAGCGUGGGGAGCGAACAGG